UGGCCCCUGGAUGGGCGCUGAUCUGCUCUGUUCCGCCGUGGUGCAUCACAGGCGUUGGAGUUGGCUGGCAAUUAUUUCAGUUCAAUUGAGUUAGCACUAAGUUUUUCGCCAUACUUCCAAUUACGUUCACUUCCUUUUUUCUGCUUCUCUCUUUGUAAAUUUUGUAGGUUUGCUUUCAUAGCUACAAUAUUUGGAGAAUUCUUGGAAGCUUUGUUUUGGCUACAGCUGCCUCAAGCGAUUAAACAUUUGAUGGAUUUUGUGUGCAAUAGCUAUUUCAAUGAAAAACUUGUUGUAAAGUUAUCAAUAUAAUGUGCUUGAUUUUCUUUGA